rnacentral:tRNA from 1 species
CGCGGGGUGGAGCAGUGGUAGCUCGUCGGGCUCAUAACCCGAAGGUCGUCAGUUCAAAUCUGGCCCCCGCAA